rnacentral:rRNA from 1 species
AUUGAACGCUGGCGGCAGGCCUAACACAUGCAAGUCGAGCGGUAGAGAGAAGCUUGCUUCUCUUGAGAGCGGCGGACGGGUGAGUAAUGCCUAGGAAUCUGCCUGAUAGUGGGGGAUAACGUCCGGAAACGGGCGCUAAUACCGCAUACGUCCUACGGGAGAAAGUGGGGGCUCUUCGGACCUCACGCUAUCAGAUGAGCCUAGGACGGAUUAGCUAGUUGGUGGGGUAAAGGCUCACCAAGGCGACGAUCCGUAACUGGUCUGAGAGGAUGAUCAGUCACACUGGAACUGAGACACGGUCCAGACUCCUACGGGAGGCAGCAGUGGGGAAUAUUGGACAAUGGGCGAAAGCCUGAUCCAGCCAUGCCGCGUGUGUGAAGAAGGUCUUCGGAUUGUAAAGCACUUUAAGUUGGGAGGAAGGGUCGUUACCUAAUACGUGGCGAUUUUGACGUUACCGACAGAAUAAGCACCGGCUAACUCUGUGCCAGCCGCCGCAGUAACAC